rnacentral:rRNA from 1 species
UCGAACGCGAAGGAAGUCUUCGGACUUCUGGAGAGUGGCGCACGGGUGAGUAACACGUGGGUAAUCUGCCUUUGGGUGGGGAAUAACGGUCCGAAAGGGUCGCUAAUACCGCAUAACGCAGCGGCACCGCAUGGUGACAGUUGUUAAAGGGGGGGAUCGAAAGACCUCUCGCCUGAAGAGGAGCCCGCGUCCGAUUAGCUGGUUGGUGAGGUAAUGGCUCACCAAGGCAUCGAUCGGUAGCCGGCCUGAGAGGGCGGUCGGCCACACUGGCACUGAGACACGGGCCAGACUCCUACGGGAGGCAGCAGUGGGGAAUUUUGGGCAAUGGGCGCAAGCCUGACCCAGCAACGCCGCGUGAAGGAUGAAAUCCCUCUGGGAUGUAAACUUCGAAAGUCGGGAAAGAAAUCGCCAUGGAUAACACCCGUGGUGGAUGACGGUACCCGACGUAAGCCCCGGCUAACUACGUGCCAGCAGCCGCGGUAAUACGUAGGGGGCAAGCGUUGUUCGGAAUUACUGGGCGUAAAGGGCGCGUAGGCGGCAUGGCAAGUCGGGAGUGAAAGCCCGGGGCUCAACCCCGGAACUGCUUUCGAAACUGCCAAGCUAGAGUACGGAAGGGGCAACUGGAAUUCCCAGUGUAGCGGUGAAAUGCGUAGAUAUUGGGAAGAACACCGGAGGCGAAGGCGGGUUGCUGGGCCGAUACUGACGCUGAGGCGCGAAAGCCAGGGGAGCAAACGGGAUUAGAUACCCCGGUAGUCCUGGCCCUAAACGAUGGAUACUUGGUGUGUGGGGUUCUCAAAGUCCCCGCGUGCCGGAGCUAACGCGUUAAGUAUCCCGCCUGGGGGAGUACGGUCGCAAG